GAUCUCAAAUCAAGUAAGACUACCCGCUGAACU
rnacentral:rRNA from 1 species